CAAACUGGUUAUUUAAAAAAGAUCCUAAAUUAAAGCUAUCAAGAAAACCCAGAAUAUUUUAUGCAGAAAAAUUGAAAAAAAUACUUUUUUUUUAAUCUUCUUAACCUGAUUUCAUGAAGUACCCUGUAGCAAAGUAGGAUCAACAAAUAUCACUGACUGACUCAAGCAAAACAGAAGGGAGAAAUAAGCUACAUUUUCUGGAACAGGAAAACAGGAUAUGAAACCUGCCUAACUGCUAAAUUACUCUAACAAUAGCUUUAAACAAAC